UAAGUCUCUCCAAUAACAAUUGCAAUAUGCUACUACUUGUUGUAUAAUGCAUCUUUUUCUAAAAAAGUCUAGUUCUUUAGCAACACUUACUUCAUUAAUUGUUUGAAACAGCCUAACUUUUCGUUAACCAAACUAGUAUCAAGCAAUAUAUGAAUUUGAAGAUUUAUAAUGGUUGGUAAAUACCUUGUUUUGAUUACCUUUUUACCACUAUUGACUGAUAAUAGAAGUCAUUCUGUAUGAGAAUAUUUUAACCAAAAAUUCUCCAAUUAAUCAAAAAUGCUUUUUUUAAAAAAAAUGAUUAGUUGGGGGAAAGGGGGAGUUAGCCCCUCUCUUUUAAUAGCCCCUCUUUUUUGUCCAGUAUUAAUUUAUAGAACCUUUUUUAUACAGAAAAAAACUUUGUUUUGGGACUUUAGGAAACAGUA